UUUUUUUUUCCCUUGAAAGAAGUUUUUUAACCCUCAGGAUCUCGAGCAGGGCAAACAAUCUGCUAAUCCUAAAACUCGAACAGAAUGGUUUUGGAAAUUUUUUGUGUGCUUUCAUUACUGAAAUUCCACCUCAAAUGUUUCUGUUCAGCCGCACAAGUCCGUGGAUCCUGAGCAGUUCAGAAAUGCAGCUGGCUUUUAAUUUAAAGCCACCUGAAGGCUUCUCGUCUUUGGGCGCUGUGGGGCUCGCCAAGGUCCGGCUGCAAUAGACGCAGUCUGCUUAUUUGCAGAUGAAGCUCUUCAUCUUAUUUUUCAAAUAGCUUGAAUUAGAGUAGCUGGGGGCUGGACGUCCACGUGGCCGUGUGCCCUGGGCCGUGUGUGUUCUGUCUGGAUUUGUGGGCGCUUACACUAAUACCAUGAGAACCCCCAAAAGAAGCCGCCUGGGACGUUGGGGGGACAGGGAUUGGGUUCUAGCUAUUGUGAAGGAGUCACCCUGAGCUCUCUGCCUGUCAGUUUUCAAGAUGAGAUUCAUGGUGUCCACCUUUCCAUUCUCAAGCUGUUGGAAAACCACCUUUUCACACAAAGUGACCACAACAACAUGGUGAAGUGGCUGGAAUCCACACAGGAAAACCCUGCGGAAGCAGGAGAUCUGGAAAGAUCUGUAAGAGGAACAUUUUACGUGGAAGAACAAAGGAGUGUGAAGAGUCAUGGGGCUGCCAGGGCUUUCAGAGGACCAGGCCCGUGACUGUGACUGAGCGCUGCUCCCGCCCCCGGACCCAGGGUGGCCAAGGCCCCUUGGGCUGAGGGCUGCCCAGCUAGCCCCCUCUUCAUUUGAACCCACAAAAUACAUGUUGAGUCCAAAGGCUCAACAGCCAGCAGCGCAUGCCAAGAAAGGCUUGCCCAAGCCUCCAGAGUCCUUCCUGGGAUGCACUGUUGGGAUGCAAAUGAUCUUAUCUGGCCUGUGAAUUAAAAGACAAAUCUUUUGUCUCUUGCAGACAUGUCCCCAAGUGGUGUCUCACAUGUUACUAGCAAUGCCAUCUAUGAACUUGACUCAUACACAGCAUGUGAUUUUUUUUUUCUUGGUUUUUAAUUGUCAAUCGCUAAUGCAGUGACCUUGAAUCGACUGUAAAACAGACUUUCACCCAAUCCCAGCACCAGUCCUGGCCCAUAGAAAUGUCUCCAUGUUCCAUCAAUUUCCUGAAGUCAAAUGUUGACUGUUCCCCCUCUCCUUUUUUUAAAGCUCUACUUCUGAUUUCCUUGGGCAACUUUACACAGUACAUUUGAAAUCUAGUUUAUGAGGCAAAGGUGAGGCACGUGCCUUCUUCUCCAGCGCUCUCCCCUUCCACUUUCCGACAUGUAAACAUGUAUAAACUGUGCGCGCACUUUGCCACCACUAGGGUUGUUAACUGCAUCACAAUUUGAAAACCUCACGUUACAUAUUCAGGCUGAUGCUGCAAAUUGAAAGCCAGUGAUGUUUCUGUAUAUCUAAGCAAAUCCUGUUCACUACACGGACAAUUAAGAUGCUUUGAUUACAUUCUUUCCCAAUUUCAUGACCUCCGUGUCUCUCCGUGAAAGGGGUCAACUGCAAGGAGUUCAAUGAAGACCCCUCAUCUCACUGGAUCGUUGAUUGAAACCAUGCAACAUUCAGUGGGCUUCAAACUUGACCUCCGACCUUGUUGUACAACUUCUUAAUCCUGAAGUUUUUGAUCUUUGUUUUUUCUUGCUGAGAGGAGAAAUACAAGCCUUAAAAAAAAAAAUACUGAAUUCUCUUUCUAGGUUCAGUGUUGUUUUCUCUCAUUAAACUUUUGGAUCUCUUUUAAUCCUGGUUCUCAGAGUUCAGAAUGAUGUCUGCCUCUUAUUAAUCCCGUGUGGCACUCGGAGCCAUCCAGAAGCCACGUGCCCCUGGGCCCUGGGACGGCCUGUCUUGCUCUGUGGAUGGACCCCCUUGGUUUUCUCCCAGAGGUGCCCGUGGGCCCCUGCUGGGUCCUCCCUCCCUCCCUCCUCUGAUCACUGGUCUCCCUGCCUAUUUUUCACGGCCUUAUCCUUCUCCUCACUUUCUGGGAGAUUCUGUCUUUUCUUCUAAUUCUUUCACUCGUGUUUCUAGUGAUCAGAUUUCUAAUUUUCAAGAACCCUCUCUUUGCUCUCUCUCAUUUUCUGUUCCUGGCACACGUGUUGACAUGCAUACCACAAAGGUAUAAACACAGAACCUGGCCAGGAAGUCGCCCGCUAUAAAGAGCGAGAUCAGAAGUGAGGAUUCCCCGUGGGUAUUGAAGACUUGUCUAGAGUUACCCUCCAGUUUCAUAAUUUGGUCACUUGGGAAAACCACCGGUGGCUCUCUAGCCCCCUGAUCUGACUGUGACCUCAUUCAUGAGGGUCAGACAGCACAACAUACAGGAAGAGAAAACGGAACAGUGCUGCCCUCAGUAGUGGCCCAUUUGAAAGAAAAGACAAAGUCAGACGCAUCUUGAGAGUAGAACACUCCUAUUGUGUCGGAGUGAGUGUGUCGGAGUGAGUGUGAAGCAGAGACUCCAACGCUGUUUUUAACUGGGGUGAAGUCUGGUGCCAUACCCAUCUCUGUCUUGGACAUUUUUAACUUAUUGGUUGUAUCAGUCCAUCUUGUGUGGCCAUAGCACAACACUUCAGGCUGGGUGCGUUAGAGUUUGCUUGACUCACAGUUCUGAGGGCUGGGAGGUUCAAACAGCAUGGAGACAUGUCACGGCAAGGGCCCUCCUGGCUGUGUCUCAACUCAGUGGAGGACAGAAAAGGAAACAGCCAUGUGCAGAGGACACCGAGCACCUGGCGUGGCCUCUACAGUGGCCCACUCUCCCCACAACUGACACAUUCCUGCAAGACCCAGCCCAGCCUGGAGACCAGCGUUGAUUAGAUCAUGACCGAGUUGCCUUCCGCUGGCCCUGCCUCUGGACCGCCACCCUGGGGUCCAAGCUUCCAGCACGCGGACCACACCAUGCAUGGAGAGCUGUGGAGCUGUCUGACAUUGUCGGAUGACAACUACUGCUGUGGAUCCCUGUGUCGGUGCUCCUUCCACGGUGCACCUGCUAGCUACCGCAAAGGCAGGGUCUCUAGCCACAACUAUCAUCCUAAAAACACCACCAAGACCUUCGGAGAGCCUGAUGGGCAGGAUGCAGAAUUUCACUGUUUUGGCUUUGGUUGUUUAAUUACUAUUAUGUGGCUUCGUAUCACUGACUGACACUUACGUGUAAAUCAAAAGUAGACUCUGUGCGAAAGGGACUGUUGUUUCUCUCCUCUCCUCCUCCUCCUCUUCUUUUCUAACUUCCUCAGUCUCCCCCUCUAAGAACACAGGUAAAUGGAUAUCCCCAGUCUAACUUGUGUCUGAAUAUUUCUUAAUCACCUCUGCUCAGUGUUAGGACCGUGGGGUCAUUCCCUGGAGUGUGGGCUGAAGUAUAUUAAGAGGUGCUGCUCAAGGAAAGGAUUACAUCCCAUCCUAAGCCCAAAACACCCAGGUAAAAAUGCACUUAGAAGACCUCACCUCCUGAGCAUCGUAAGUCAGCCAUGCCAUGCGACGUGGAGUGUUGUGGCUUUCUCUUGGGGUCAGUUCUGGCUGGGAGCUACAGCUGAGGGUCAGCCCCUAGGUCUCAUGGGCAUGUCACGCUGUGCUUUGCUGACCUGGCCAGAGACCCAAAGCUGGAGGUACGGUGUCUACUGCUUGCCCGUGGCUUUCCCACCCUCCUAAAGUCACAGAACUCAGGGAAAAUUGUCAUCGCCCGGGGCUCCGUUGUAUAGCCUGACUGUUGGUUAGAGGCAAGGUGGUGUUCGUUUUAUCAUUUAAUAGCUUGAUUGAAACACCUAUCCUCAGAUGAUAGGAAAUACAAACGCGACUUUUCCUGUGUUACAUGAUAAGUAGGGUUGACCGGGCGAGGACUUCCAUCGGAGAAAAAAGGGCGUUUGUUCCUGCCCUUGAACUUUCCCCUGAACACUCAAUUCUGUGACUUACUUCAGAGCUGUCAUGAUGGGGCCUGUGUCUGAGCACUUUGGAUUCUUACCCCAGCGUCAGGGCAGGCCUAACUGAGCGAGUGAACUGGGCAUGGUGUCACUUCCGCCUUGAAACUGCUCCAAGAAAAGACACAGGACUCCACAGUGUCAUUCCAAGAGAACAAUGGUUGGCCCUACUUACUGUAUCUGAGUUUCCAUCCUAAAAUUUGUUUUCCAUUUGGAAAGGCAGCUGUUGGUAUGCGGUGGCUCUGGAAAACUCAGGAAGCAAUAACUAGAAUUAGAAUUAGACGUCGCAUGGGUCGGUUUGUUUCUUGCGUGAACUUGAUACUGAGGAUAACUCUGUUGGGGUAGAGAUCUGGGGGUGAGAGACCGGGCUGCAGAUAGAGAAGCAGGACGGGUGCUCUGUGGCUGGGCACUGGUGAUUGUGUGUUGUGCUCUAGUAUUUAUAGUUUUAUCAAACGAAAGUUUUAUAUUUUAGAGAAUAAAAAUUGCUUUCAUUGUUUAACCCUGUAAGACUACUUUAAGCUUUCAAAUAAUGAACCUUUAAACGUUGUGCAUAGAGUGAAAGCCCCAGUGAAGGAGUGCUGGGUGUAGUUCCUUGUCCGUCUGCACACCAUCUGGGAGGACUCCGUGGUGCAGACAGUAAGGGGCCUGGAGACAAGUUCAAUCCAUCGGACUUCUUACAUACAGAAAAAUGAAACUCUUUGUUCAGGUUUGGUGUAAAUACGGAGAAUAUACAAAUGUGGGAUCUCUGUGAUUAAAGCAAUCAGAACCACAGAGGGCCACCGAGCUUUGUGUCAACGUGUUCCUGAACUAUGUGGGCCUUCACAUCCCUGUUGGUAGUCUGGUGCUGAUAAUUGCAUUGCACUGUUGCUUUUAUUUUCCUGAUUGGUGGUAAGAGAGGGCGGUAAUUUAUCCUUGGCUUUCAGGCCAGCUACAGUGAUGACAAGCAGCUGAACUGUCCAACAGGAAAGGGUCCUUUGUGUUCUCCCAGAAGCGUAUGUCCACAUCUAGCAGUGGGUCCUGGGGAGGGGACCUGAGCCAUCGGGGAGCCUUCCCACAGGCAGGACUGGGCAGGACGUUCAGCUGCGGGCCUGGCUCCGUCUGCUCCCUGGGCAGCGCUGGGAUGGUGAUCUUCAUCAGGCCACUCUGCUGAGGCUCUGUGCUUCCGUUUGCCUUGGCUGCUACUAAAUAACAAGAAGUAGAAAGGAGAGAGGGUGGGGGCGGCCCACAGUGCAGCCUCAGGCGGAGCCUCGUUCCCAGCGCGAGAGCCCAUCACAUCUCCUGGGACGCCCACGACGGGGGAGAGCUGUUCAUUGUACCACGCCAGAGUCCCAAUUCUCCUUUUCCUGGUUUCUUGCACCUGUAAAUAACUGGGAGAACCUGAAGAGGGUGAGCCCUGGGGUGCAGUUUCUGAAAGCUGUUUCCGUGGGCAUCCUGCGGAGCCUUGGUCCACAGAGGCCUCCGGUCCUGGAGGCCAGGGGCAGGGAGAAAGCUGGGCCGUUUGCUGAGGGGGUGGGUUCUGGCAGGAGGGCGUAGGCUGGGGUCUGUGUCCCCCACCAGCUGUGCCACGCCCAGGGCCGGCUGCCGCCCGUGGAGAGUUUGUGUCCACAAGGAUCCGUACAAGGCAUUUGUUGGCACUGCGAAGCCAGAGACAUCGUUUAAUAAAUGUUUACAGAUACUUUUAACAGACUUGCCUAUUAAAAGCAAAGCUAGCCGUUAAGACCUCUGUGUCAAGGUGCCUCCGGCCCUGGGAAGGGGACGCCCCUCAUGACGACACCCUGCUUUCUCUGAGCCUGUUCUCCUUUGGACCUUGAGGGUCCUCCAGAGGUCCCCGUGGGAAAGACUUGCUCACCAGCGUGGCAGAAUCAGAGGUGGUAGACCCCUAGGAGGUGAGUCUAGUGGGAGGUCAUACCCUAUUGAGGUGACUGCAGGACCCUGCCCUCUUCCUCUUCUACUUCCCGGCUGGGAGCUGGGCAGCUUUUCUGAGAGUCCUUCACACUCUGUGCCAUGAGUGCGGAGGACACAGGCCCAAGGCAACAGGGCUGACCAAUCAUGGACUGAAACCUCUGAAACUGUGAGCCAAAAUAAACCUUUUCUCUUUAUAAGUUCAUUAGCUCAGAUAUUUGUUAUAGUAAUGGAAAGCUGACUUUGAAAGAUCUUUUUUUCUCUCACUAGUUUAGCCCAGGGGUGGCCAAGAGACAUAUAAUGUGGACUUCAAAUGCAACUCUCACCAAUAAGUUUAAGAUGUUGAGUAGCCUCUUAAAAACUGUAAAAAGGAAAAUAGAUUA
rnacentral:lncRNA from 1 species